ACGGGUGGGUAACACGUAUCCAACCUGCCGUCUACUCUUGGACAGCCUUCUGAAAGGAAGAUUAAUACAAGAUGGCAUCAUGAGUCCGCAUGUUCACAUGAUUAAAGGUAUUCCGGUAGACGAUGGGGAUGCGUUCCAUUAGAUAGUAGGCGGGGUAACGGCCCACCUAGUCUUCGAUGGAUAGGGGUUCUGAGAGGAAGGUCCCCCACAUUGGAACUGAGACACGGUCCAA
rnacentral:rRNA from 1 species